rnacentral:rRNA from 1 species
ACCCGUUCCCAUCCCGAACACGGAAGUUAAGCUCUUCAGCGCCGAUGGUAGUUGGGGGCUUCCCCCUGUGAGAGUAGGACGCUGCCAGGC